CAAGCAGGAUAAAUGAUCGCGGCUGCAAGUGCCGAAAGGCCGCAGGUGAGGAAAGUCCGGGCUUCACAGGGCAGGAUGCCGGAUAACGUCCGGUGGAGGUGACUCCCAGGAAAGUGCAACAGAAAUAUACCGCCGGAGCCGGGGCUUCCCGGAGCCGGUAAGGGUGGAAGGGCAGUGUAAGAGACUACCGCCUUCCUGGUAACAGGGAGGGCAUAUGUAAACCCCAUCCGAAGCAAGACCGAGCAGAAGCAGUGACGUGGCCCGCCAGCUUCAGGUAGGUCGCUUGAGGCGGCUGGCAACAGCCGUCCUAGACAGAUGAUCAUUCGAGACAUAACCCGGCUUAUCGUCCUGCUUGGGUU
rnacentral:RNase_P_RNA from 1 species